rnacentral:rRNA from 1 species
GGAGGGGGCGAGCGUUAUUCGGAAUUAUUGGGCGUAAAGGGCGCGUAGGCGGCCCGGUAAGUCAAAGGUGAAAUCCCUCGGCUCAACUGAGGAAUUGCCUUUGAAACUGCCAGGCUUGAGGCCGGGAGGGGGUAGCGGAAUUCCCAGUGUAGCGGUGAAAUGCGUAGAUACUGGGAGGAACACCAGUGGCGAAGGCGGCUACCUGGACCGGUUCUGACGCUGAUGCGCGAAAGCGUGGGGAGCAAACAGGAUUAGAUACCCUGGUAGUCCACGCUGUAAACGAUGGGUGCUCGGUGUCGCGGGUAUCGACCCCUGCGGUGCCUUAGCUAACGCGUUAAGCACCCCGCCUGGGGAGUACGGUCGCAA